rnacentral:rRNA from 1 species
AUUGAACGCUGGCGGCAGGCCUAACACAUGCAAGUCGAGCGAGCGGCGGACGGGUGAGUAAUGUAUGGGGACUGCCCGAUAGAGGGGGAUAACUACUGGAAACGGUGGCUAAUACCCCAUACUGUCGGACAACCCACAUGGGAUUAGCUCGUAGGUAAGGUAAUGGCUUACCUAGGCGACGCUCCCUAGCUGGUCUGAGAGGAUGAUCAGCAACACUGGGACGGAGAAACGGCCCAGACUCCUACGGAGGCAGCAGUGGGGAAUAUUGCACAAUGGGCGCAAGCCUGAUGCAGCCAUGCCGCGUGUAUGAAGAAGGCCCUAGGGUUGUAAAGUACUUUCAGUCGGGAGGCGUUACCGGCAGAAGAAGCACCGGCUAACUCCGUGCCAGCAGCCGCGGUAAUUC